rnacentral:misc_RNA from 1 species
GGAUGAAGAACGUAGCGAAAUGCGAUAAGUAGUGUGAAUUGCAGAAUUCAGUGAAUCAUCGAAUCUUUGAACGCACAUUGCGCCCCUUGGUAUUCCAUGGGGCAUGCCUGUUCGAGCGUCAUUUGUACCUUCAAGCUUUGCUUGGUGUUGGGUGUUUGUCUCGCCUCUGCGUGUAGACUCGCCUUAAAACAAUUGGCAGCCGGCGUAUUGAUUUCGGAGCGCAGUACAUCUCGCGCUUUGCACUCAUAACGACGACGUCCAAAAGUACAUUUUUACACUCUUGACCUCGGAUCAGGUAGGGAUACCCGCUGAACUUAAGCAUAUCAAUAAGCGGAGGA